rnacentral:rRNA from 1 species
GACGAACGCUGGCGGCGUGCUUAACACAUGCAAGUCGAACGGAAAGGCCCUGCUUUUGUGGGGUGCUCGAGUGGCGAACGGGUGAGUAACACGUGAGUAACCUGCCCUUGACUUUGGGAUAACUUCAGGAAACUGGGGCUAAUACCGGAUAGGAGCUCCUGCUGCAUGGUGGGGGUUGGAAAGUUUCGGCGGUUGGGGAUGGACUCGCGGCUUAUCAGCUUGUUGGUGGGGUAGUGGCUUACCAAGGCUUUGACGGGUAGCCGGCCUGAGAGGGUGACCGGCCACAUUGCGACUGAGAUACGGCACAGACUACUACGGGAGGGAGCAGUGGAGAAGAGUACACAAUGGGCGGAAGGCUGAUGCAGCAACGCCGCGUGGGGGAUGAGGGGAUUCGGGUUGUAAACCGAUGUCGCCUGUGACGAAGCGAGAGUGACGGUAAUGGGUAAAGAAGCACCGGCUAACUACGUG